AUGCUCUGUUAAGAGAUUCCUAAAAGUCACUGUUGAGCAUUUACAAAUAUAAAAUCUAAGAAUUUACUACAAAUAGUAGUAAAAACCCUAAUGAAACAUAGAGAGAAGUUGUAGCUUUGUGUUCAAAAUAAUGUUCAUGAUUAUGUUUCUAUCAUGUGAGUUAUUAUCCGCAGGUCCAAUGCUUUUAUUUCCUGAAGAAGCAGAGUCCUGGUAAAGUCCCAGGAAUAUGGUCAGGUUCAAGGAGAAGUGGGUGUAUGUGAAUAGGGUUAGUCCUCUGUGGGCUGUACCAUGUGAGACCAGGAAGAUGACCCAAGAAGCAGAUUCAUGGGGAAGAAUUUCAAAUAAAAAGUUGGAAGGGAAACUUCUGGGGAAUCCAGAUGUACUCCACACAACCAGAACUUUCUAUGACUGAUGAUGAGGAUUGAAGUCUUAGCACAUGGCACAUGUCUGAUGAUGUUCUGCAAAUGAAAUAAAUGGGCUUUCCAGAUCGUCUUUGUAAAACCCCAAUUUUACUUUUUUGCUGAUUCAGAAUAUGUGUCUGUGUUAUGUUCAUGAUGGAUGUCAAAAACCUUACAAAACAGCCUGUGUAUGAACCUCAAGAAAAGAGUGAUGUAAAGUUUCGUACUUUUCUUCUAAUCAAGUGACUGCUUAAACUUUAGGGGGAAUCUGAACGGGGAUUUGCAUGGAAGGCAUUUCUCAUGAUGAAAAACUCUGGAACUCUGGGAAGACAUACUUUCUUUGGUGCUAAUAUAUUUGAAAGAUAUUUUUGAGUCUAGGUUUAGA